CUGGGAGUAUUAUUGCUGUGGAGCUCUGUUAUAUGCUCAGACACGUUACUGGGAGUAUUAUUGCUGUGGGGCUCUGUUAUACACUCUGACACGUUACUGGGAGUAUUAUUGCUACGGAGGUCUGUUAUACACUCAGACACAUUACUGGGAGUAUUAAUACUGUGGAGCUCUGUUAUACACUCAGACACAUUACUCUGAGUAUUAUUGCUGUGGAGAUCUGUUAUACGCUCAGACACAUUACUGGGAGUAUUAAUACUGUGGAGCUCUGUUAUACACUCAGACACAUUACUGGGAGUAUUAUUGCUGUGGGGCUCUGUUAUACACUCUGACACGUUACUGGGAGUAUUAUUGCUACGGAGCUCUGUUAUACACUCAGACACAUUACUGGGAGUAUUAUUGCUGUGGAGCUCUGUUAUACACUGAGACACAUUACUGGGAGUAUUAUUGCUGUGGAGCUCUGUAAUACACUCAGACACAUUACUGGGAGUAUUAUCGCUGUGGAGCUCUGUUAUAC